GUCGUAUAAAGAUGCAUUAGAUGCAAGACAAUCUAGCAUUUCCCUUUACGGCAUUGUAGUAAAAUUAGAAGUUCAAGCAAAAGAAAUUGUUGCCUGGUUAAUAAUCGAAACAAUUUGAGUUUGAAUGGAAGAGGUUAACCGUAUGACCUUGUGUUGAAAAGCACUAAAAAUAAUCUUGAAUAACGAUUUCUGAAUUUUCGUUAUUUUGAGUUACGGCUAG
rnacentral:ncRNA from 1 species